GCUCGGCGAGCUUUUGCAGCUCCUCAUACUUGCUGGAGAGCUCAGAACGUCCGGUCUCCAGCGGGACCUGGAACUUCAGGUUCUGCUCAGCAAGGCUGCGGUUGGCAGCGAGUGCCAUCUCCCUCUCCAGCUGCAGCUCCUGCACCUCCCUGGACUCCAGGGCCAAGCGCUCGAUCUCCGCAGCAUCCUCCUGCAGUGCCUGCAGCUCCUCCACAGUACGGUCCUUCAGGGUGUCCAUGCUCACGGCAGCCGUGGGCUCAGCGCACCCGGAAGGCCCGCUCGCUCGC
rnacentral:lncRNA from 1 species